rnacentral:tRNA from 1 species
UUAUAAAUAGCAUAAUAAAGUGCAUAUAGUUUCGGCCUAUAACUUACAGGUGAUAGUCCUUUUUUAUAAA